GUCUUACAGGCGCCACAGACACCUCUGUCAUUUGUAAAGAGGAGCAGCGCGGCAGACGGAUGAGUGCGGUCAGUUAAUUAAUGCUGCUUGCUUAAUUUCAUGUUACUGAUUAAGUGUUUAAACUUGACGUUAGAUGAGAUGUUGGUGUUUUAUGGCUCGCGAAUUUGCAAUAACUGCAUUUAUCAGGCAAUCACACAUUACGUCACACGCAUAUGCUUGUACCUGCGGUCCCUCGCGCUGUAUCAAUGAUUUAAAGCGGAAUAAAACUCUUAACUCCUUUGUAAGGAAAAAGUCAAACAGUAGCCCUUCAAAUUGAAAAUAGUGAUGGUGAUCUUGUCAAUGCUGAGAUUUAAAUGCAUUAACAGCCAUUACGUCUGUCUGGAUCAGGAUUGAAGAAGAAUCAGACAGCAAGGGUUGUCAGAUCAGAAACGUAAUAACACAAACAUAAGAAACUUCACAGGGCUGUGACAGUGACAGUAUUUUACCACCGCGAUGGUAAUGCACCAAUUCACCACUGUGGUGAGGUGGUUAUAGAAUGUGUUUGUGUGAGGGGGGAGGCGGCAAUUUCUUUUUCCGCCGGUGGGUGCUCAUCACAACCUCAAGCUUUACUUAGCAAAGCCAGGUUCUCUAGAGUCUGGAGCGCUCAAAAGCUUUGAAGAGGUGGAAAGUGGCGCAGUCACAU